AUGACCAAACCCCCGAGUGGUCAGUCUGCCCCUGCCCAUGAUAGUCUACCCAGCUUUGGAUUGCAUCUCCCCUUAGGACACUGCAUAAUGUUGGUUGAUAAUGAUUAUGUUGCUUAGAAUAUGAUGUCUCGGCCACAAUUUAUUGAUGUAAAAAAAAUGAAACAUGGUGCUCUUUUUGGCACUUGAAGAAUGCCAGUCCUCAGCCACAUUGUUAAAAAGGAAUUAAUACAUCUAUAUUGCCAAUUUUGUUCAAUCACCACCAUCCAGGUUACUUGACAAUGAUAAUGCAGAAGUAUAUAUUAUAUAUUGUUGAUACAGCUUAACCUUGAGGGAGGUGUAUGCAGCGGUGUAUCCUGGUUUUGUGCUGCCCUAGGCAGGACAAAGCUCAGGCGCCCCC